rnacentral:rRNA from 1 species
ACGGGAGGCAGCAGUAAGGAAUAUUGGUCAAUGGACGCAAGUCUGAACCAGCCAUGCCGCGUGGAGGAUGAAGGUCCUCUGGAUUGUAAACUUCUUUUAUUUGGGAAGAAAUCCACUUUUUCUAAGGUGGUUGACGGUACCAGAUGAAUAAGCACCGGCUAACUCCGUGCCAGCAGCCGCGGUAAUACGGAGGGUGCAAGCGUUAUCCGGAUUCACUGGGUUUAAAGGGUGCGUAGGUGGGUAAGUAAGUCAGUGGUGAAAUCUCCGGGCUUAACCCGGAAACUGCCAUUGAUACUAUUUGUCUUGAAUACUGUGGAGGUCAGCGGAAUAUGUCAUGUAGCGGUGAAAUGCUUAGAUAUGACAUAGAACACCAAUUGCGAAGGCAGCUGGCUACACAAAUAUUGACACUGAGGCACGAAAGCGUGGGGAUCAAACAGGAUUAGAUACCCUGGUA